rnacentral:misc_RNA from 1 species
AAGUCGUAACAAGGUUUCCGUAGGUGAACCUGCGGAAGGAUCAUUAACAAAUUCUAAACAUACACACCUGUGCACGGGCUUGCCCACAUUUACGAUAAGAGCUAUUUGAAGCGUAAGAAAAAACAACUUUUAACAAUGGAUCUCUAGGCUCCU